rnacentral:rRNA from 1 species
CACGCCGUAAACGAUGAUUACUGGGUGUAGGGGGUAUCGACUCCCUCUGUGCCGAAGCUAACGCGAUAAGUAAUCCACCUGGGGAGUACGGCCGCAAGGCUAAAACUCAAAGGAAUUGACGGGGGCCCGCACAAGCAGUGGAGUAUGUGGUUUAAUUCGAAGCAACGCGAAGAACCUUACCAGGGCUUGACAUCCUCGGACGACACUAGAGAUAGUGUUUUCUCUUCGGAGACUGAGAGACAGGUGG